rnacentral:lncRNA from 1 species
CCAAUAUAAAUAAGUAAUAACCAAGGUUUUUUUUUAUAAUUUAUACACAAAAUAACAAAUGCAAACUAUACACAUAACACAAUGUAAUAGUUACCCAUUGAUUUUUAAUGAAACAAGUCCAAUAGAUUUCUAAAAUCAUCCUCUCUUGUUCCGACGAUCAUCGGACAUCACCCCUCCUUUGUUUCUGAUCUGCUACAUGGUAUGAGAGCUGUAAAAUGUCUUCAAACAUUAAUGAGUCUGAUUAAUUAAAAAUCCUGUUCUAAUUUUAUUAUUAUUUUAUUUUCUCACAACUUAAUUUACCAAAAAAACCAUAUCGGUAACCGGUCAAAACCAUGUACUCCAAUCUGGUGAGCCGCUGCUUUGACUUGCCGCACACGUUAAUAGUCCACGUGUUAAAUAAAGAGCAUCCAUGACUUCAAGUUAAGCUUGAUUACAACGCAUCCUGCGGGUCCAGCAGCUCGCUUGCUAGCUAUUUCUUCUAUAUAUAUAAAAAGAAGUCCAAAAAAGAAGAAUAACAAGGUAUAGUAGUUGACCAAAUCACCGACAGGA